AAGCUUAAGCUUGCUUCGAGUGACUUUAUAUGUGAAGUGCGACAAUUUUGCUCAGUGUAUUCAGGGCAAAUGAUUUAAAUAAAAUCGUCAAUAAUAGCGCUGAACUUGUUGCUGCUGUCUGCGGCAGCCGUCAACGUCAACACCGCCGAUAUUGCGUCGACGCUGCCAACGUUGGUUCGCUCGCAUGUUCAGUUGCUAUCCACCAUUACUUGCGCUUGCUAUGCGUUGAAGCCUGUUGCUCACAGCGGCAGCUGCUGCCAAUGCGCUGUUGAUGUUGCUGUUGUCGCCUGGUUUGUUGCUCUGACUCGCACCAACAAUAACAACGGCAUUUGCGUUUACAACAGCAACGCGACGACUUCGCGGUCGUGGUUAAACAAAUGAGCUUCGGCGCUGCGUUGCGGCUGUCGUCGUCGUUGACGGUGUUGGCAUCGUCUCGCAGCUGAAACCAAAUACCAAACAGCGCUGAACGGCAAUUGACGGCUGGCGUUGCGCUGGUCGUUGCGAACUGGGGCUGGACCAAGUUUAGUAGCAAAACAAAGCACGAAGUGUAUGAGACUGCGACGCUCGAGCUCGAGUCAAGUUUAAAACGUAUGCGGUUGCAGCUGAAAGCGAACGAAAAAAAAAAUCCAAUAAGUUAAAAUACAAUGAAUAACAACAAAUACUAAAAGUAAAAUAGUAAAUAUUUUUAUUGUAGCAAAAAAAAAAGAAAUUACAACAACAAAAAGUGUUCGGGCUAAAGCGAAAAAGUGAGUGCGUGCGCGGAGUGGCGUUUUGAUCUGGUCAAACGUAGCGACCGAUCAAAUCACUGUAGCGUAGCGUAACGUAACCAACGACCAAUCGAUCGAUCGAUACGAGACGGACACGAAAGGCCGGACACACGGAGCCUUGGCUAGCUGCGAAGAAAGUACGGCCGAAUAGUUGACGACGCGCGACAAGCGAGUUUAAAAUUAUGAACGCGGAAGAUUUCGGUGGAAAUUGAAGAAAAGUUGAUAUAAAUAAAUGAUUUUAACCGCCACGAUUUCCCGAAUAAAAUUUAACUAAAGAAGUGUUUGAUUUUUAAUUUUUUGUGCUCACCUUUUUAUAUAAAAAAUACAAAUUUUGAAGUGUUUAAAAUUCAACGAAAUGAUUUCUGUGCUGCUAAAUAUGUGAUAAUGGAUGUGAUUUUCAUUAUAUCGCAUAUAUGGAAGUUAUUGUCACUACAGCCGAAGGAAUUGUGGAUUUUAACUAAUUUACAAGUGUGUUAAAUUGUGUGUGAAUACCCUUUGCGGUGGUUGGCUGUAGUCGAAGUGCAGUAGAGCAGCAGCAGCAGAAAAAUUACAACAACAACAAAAGUAUAAAAUAUAUGCUUAUUAUUAAUUAUAAAUAUCACUACACGAAUAAACAAGCGUAUGCAAGUGUAGUCCCAAACAUACAUACAAACAUAUGUAGUAUGUCAGGCUGUGUGUGCGUGUGUUAGUGAUAAAUGAAUGGAGCAAUAAAUUUAAAAGUUCAAUUGAUUUCACAUUCAGCAACAACGGCAGUUGUCACCAUUUAGCCACGCUGUCAAGCUGUCAACAUUGUCACACAUACACAUGUAUGUUUGUAUGUGUUUAGUGUUUGUGUAAUUGCGCGCGAAAUGUCAAACUGCCACUGACAAGGGUCAUUGUUGGGUGACUCAGCAGUAAAUUAAGCAAAUUUACAAAAAAAGUUUGGAAUAUAAAAACUUUCGAAAAUUAAAAAAAAAAAAUAUUACGCUUACUCCAACGAUAUCUACAAAAAAAAAAAAUACUUAAAAAAUAAAGUUAUCUUAAACAAAAAGUAAAAAAAUUUUCAAAGCAAAAAAUUUUGGGAAAGAAAUUUUUUUGAAAAACAAAUUUUUGCGAAAAAAAUUAUUUUGAAGCAAAUUAUUUACCAAACAAAAGUAUUACAUAAAAUUCCAAAUAAAAAUAAUUUUUCAAAAAACAAAAUUUCGAAACAGACUUUAAG